UUUUUGGUGCUUUCCUUCAGUUUGCAGAAUAGUCUUCCCUAAAGAUGAAGGGACAGAGUGAUCCCACAUUCUUAAGUUUAGAGUCUGAACUCAUUCUCCUAGAGAACAGCACACAUUUCUGACAUGCUCUUUCUGCCCACCAGAGCUUUUGGGGGUCUCUGGGGCUUCAGUGGAAAAUUAAGAGGCACCAAGUAUUCUAUUCCUUCUAUAGGGGGAAUGUACACUUAAUCAUCUGGAUUCUUCAAGUUCAUCAUUCAGCAAUCUUUAUCAUUAGUGAGUCAUUUCUUGACCUUUACAACUGGUUCUUCUGGGCUGAUUGGAAAAAACCACCUGUAUGAAGUAUCACUAGGAAGGUUCACAGAACGG
rnacentral:lncRNA from 1 species